ACAGAGCGGAACUUGACUUGCAGCGUCCGAAGAGGAGAGGAUGGCUGCUUUGGAAUCCAACUGCUGCCCAAGUGUGGAGGAGACUAUGAGGGAAAGACGGGCGCACAAUCCCAAAAUUAAGGUAAGAAUAUAUUCAGUGACUGCUAAGCUAAAAGUAACUAGCAGAUCUGAAUAGCGUGUAAACAACUGGGCGAGAAAGUCGCUAAAGCUAUGAGGGCUUGAGCAGAGCCAGUGUUAAGUUUUGUUCACAAAAAUGACUUUGUCUUGCUGUAUUUUAUAGGAAGUGGUGCGUCGUCUUCACAACUUGGAAGCAAAUUGCAGGCACUACGAACCGGAGCAAGGACUGAGCUCGCCUCACAACGGGACUGGAAGCUAAACGGAAGUACACGGCAACACAUCACAGACGUUGGCACACUGGACCACAUUCGGACGGAAUGCUGACAAAUACAUACGACUCUGAGGCGGUAAAAAGACAUUUCAAGGCGCAUCUGAUGCCCCAGGUUGUUCUAGUGGCUGGACACUUUGAAAGCUACUUUAGUUGCUUUCUGACAGUUGUGCAUUUGCUAUUUCCUAUGUAUCAAUAAAGCUCUUACUUUUAAUCAACAUGUUCCUCGCAAAUGUUUUUUUUUUUCUUCCCCAAUAAAUUCAUUGAUGUCUUUGAUUAUACUGUAGCCCAGAGGAUAACAAUAACAUGAAUAUAUACAACAUAUAGCAUAUAUCACAUGAAUAUAUAGUCUUCAGCAACUGCAGUAUUUUUGAUACAGGCU